GACGAACGCUGGCGGCGUGCUUAACACAUGCAAGUCGAACGCUGAAGCUCAGCUUUUGUUGGGUGGAUGAGUGGCGAACGGGUGAGUAACACGUGAGUACCUGCCCCCUUCUUUGGGAUAACGCCCGGAAACGGGUGCUAAUACUGGAUAUUCACUGGUCUUCGCAUGGGGGUUGGUGGAAAGGGUUUUUCUGGUGGGGGAUGGGCUCGCGGCCUAUCAGCUUGUUGGUGGGGUGAUGGCCUACCAAGGCUUUGACGGGUAGCCGGCCUGAGAGGGUGACCGGUCACAUUGGGACUGAGAUACGGCCCAGACUCCUACGGGAGGCAGCAGUGGGGAAUAUUGCACAAUGGGCGCAAGCCUGAUGCAGCGACGCCGCGUGAGGGAUGGAGGCCUUCGGGUUGUGAACCUCUUUCGCUCAUGGUCAAGCCGCAACAAUGGUUGUGGUGAGGGUAGUGGGUAAAGAAGCGCCGGCUAACUACGUG
rnacentral:rRNA from 1 species